GACGAACGCUGGCGGCGUGCUUAACACAUGCAAGUCGAACGCUGAAGCUUGGUGCUUGCCCUGGGUGGAUGAGUGGCGAACGGGUGAGUAAUACGUGAGUAACCUGCCCUUUACUCUGGGAUAAGCCUGGGAAACUGGGUCUAAUACUGGAUACGACAUGUCACCGCAUGGUGGUGUGUGGAAAGGGUUUUACUGGUUUUGGAUGGGCUCACGGCCUAUCAGCUUGUUGGUGGGGUAAUGGCUCACCAAGGCGAUGACGGGUAGCCGGCCUGAGAGGGUGAACGGCCACACUGGGACUGAGACACGGCCCAGACUCCUACGGGAGGCAGCAGUGGGGAAUAUUGCACAAUGGGCGGAAGCCUGAUGCAGCGACGCCGCGUGAGGGAUGACGGCCUUCGGGUUGUAAACCUCUUUCAGCACGGAAGAAGCGAAAGUGACGGUACGUGCAGAAGAAGCGCCGGCUAACUACGUG
rnacentral:rRNA from 1 species